rnacentral:rRNA from 1 species
CCUACGGGAGGCAGCAGGAGGGAAUGUUAGUCAAUGGGCGCAAGCCUGAACGAGCGAGGCCGCGUGAGUGAAGAAGGCCUUCGGGUCGUAAAGCUCUGUUGCGGGGGAAAAAAGGCAGCAUCAGGAAAUGGGUGCUGACUGAUGGUGCCCCGCCAGAAAGUCACGGCUAACUACGGGCCAGCAGCCGCGGUAAUACGUAGGUGGCGAGCGUUAGCCGGCAUGAUUGGGCGUAAAGGGUGCGCAGGCGGUCCGGCAAGUCUGGAGUGAAACGCAUGAGCUCAACUCAUGCAUGGCUUUGGAAACUGGGGGACUGGAGUGCAGGAGAGGGCGGUGGAACUCCAUGUGUAGCGGUCAACUGCGUAGAUAUAUGGAAGAACCCCAGUGGCGAAGGCGGCCGCCUGGCCUGUUACUGACGCUGAGGCACGAAAGCGUGGGGAGCAAAUAGGAUUAGCUCCCCCUGUAGUC